GACGAACGCUGGCGGCGUGCUUAACACAUGCAAGUCGAACGGGCCCGCCCCUGUUUUUGGGGGUGGGUUGAGUGGCGAACGGGUGAGUAUCACGUGAGUAACCUGCCCCCUGCUCCUGGAUAACUGCUUGAAAGGGCGGCUAAUACGGGGUGUGCCGGCUGGUCCGCAUGGGCCUGGUCGGGAUAGUUUCAUCUUCGGGUGUUUCGGUGGGGGAUGGGCUCGCGGCCUAUCAGCUUGUUGGUGGGGUGAUGGCCCACCAAGGCGGUGACGGGUAGCCGGCUUGAGAGGGUGGGCGGCCACACUGGGACUGAGACACGGCCCAGACUCGUGCGGGAGGCAGCAGUGGGGGGUAUUGCGCAAUGGGCGGAAGCCUGAUGCAGCGACGUCGCGUGAGGGAUGGAGGCCUUCGGGUUGUGAACCUCUUUCUCCGGUGGUGAAGGCCCUGUCCGUUGCGGCGGGGUUGACGGUAGCCGGGUAUGAAGCGCCGGCUAACUACGUG
rnacentral:rRNA from 1 species